rnacentral:rRNA from 1 species
GAUGAACGCUGGCGGCGUGCCUAAUACAUGCAAGUAGAACGCUGAAGGAAGGAGCUUGCUCUUUCCGGAUGAGUUGCGAACGGGUGAGUAACGCGUAGGUAACCUGCCUGGUAGCGGGGGAUAACUAUUGGAAACGAUAGCUAAUACCGCAUACAGUAGAUAUUGCAUGAUAUCUGCUUGAAAGGGGCAAUUGCUCCACUACCAGAUGGACCUGCGUUGUAUUAGCUAGUUGGUGAGGUAACGGCUCACCAAGGCGACGAUACAUAGCCGACCUGAGAGGGUGAUCGGCCACACUGGGACUGAGACACGGCCCAGACUCCUACGGGAGGCAGCAGUAGGGAAUCUUCGGCAAUGGACGGAAGUCUGACCGAGCAACGCCGCGUGAGUGAAGAAGGUUUUCGGAUCGUAAAGCUCUGUUGUAAGAGAAGAACGAGUGUGAGAGUGGAAAGUUCACACUGUGACGGUAUCUUACCAGAAAGGGACGGCUAACUACGUG